rnacentral:rRNA from 1 species
UGGGGGAUAUUGCACAAUGGGCGAAAGCCUGAUGCAGCGACGCCGCGUGGGGGAUGAAGGCUUUCGGGUUGUAAACCUCUUUCGCUAUCGAACAAGGCCCGCUUAGGGUGGGUUGAGGGUAGGUGGAGAAGAAGCGCCGGCUAAAUACGUGCCAGCAGCCGCGGUAAUACGUAGGGCGCGAGCGUUGUCCGGAAUUAUUGGGCGUAAAGGGCUUGUAGGCGGCUUGUUGCGCCUGCUGUGAAAACGCGGGGCUUAACUUCGCGCGUGCAGUGGGUACGGGCAGGCUUGAGUGUGGUAGGGGUGACUGGAAUUCCAGGUGUAGCGGUGGAAUGCGCAGAUAUCUGGAGGAACACCGAUGGCGAAGGCAGGUCACUGGGCCAUUACUGACGCUGAGGAGCGAAAGCAUGGGUAGCGAACAGG